CAUGGUUGUCGUCAGCUCGUGUCGUGAGAUGUUGGGUUAAGUCCCGCAACGAGCGCAACCCUCGACCUUAGUUGCCAGCAUUCAGUUGGGCACUCUAAGGUGACUGCCGGCUAAAAGUCGGAGGAAGGUGGGGAUGACGUCAAAUCAUCAUGCCCCUUAUGACCUGGGCUACACACGUGCUACAAUGGGCGGUACAAAGGGUCGCGAACCCGCGAGGGGGGAGCCAAUCCCAAAAAGCCGCUCUCAGUUCGGAUUGCAGGCUGCAACUCGCCUGCAUGAAGCCGGAAUCGCUAGUAAUCGCGGAUCAGCAUGCCGCGGUGAAUACGUUCCCGGGCCUU
rnacentral:rRNA from 1 species